GAUGAACGCUGGCGGCGUGCCUAAUACAUGCCAGUCGAGCGACCAGACGAGGAGCUUGCUCCUUUGACGUUAGCGGCGGACGGGUGAGUAACACGUGGGUAACCUACCUAUAAGACUGGGAUAACUUCGGGAAACCGGAGCUAAUACCGGAUAAUAUUUCGAACCGCAUGGUUCGAUAGUGAAAGAUGGCUCUGCUCUCACUUAUAGAUGGACCUGCGCCGUAUUAGCUAGUUGGUAAGGUAACGGCUUACCAAGGCAACGAUACGUAGCCGACCUGAGAGGGUGAUCGGCCACACUGGAACUGAGACACGGUCCAGACUCCUACGGGAGGCAGCAGUAGGGAAUCUUCCGCAAUGGGCGAAAGCCUGACGGAGCAACGCCGCGUGAGUGAUGAAGGUCUUCGGAUCGUAAAACUCUGUUAUUAGGGAAGAACAAACGUGUAAGUAUCUGUGCACGUCUUGACGGUACCGAAUCAGAAAGCCACGGCUAACUACGUG
rnacentral:rRNA from 1 species